rnacentral:rRNA from 1 species
ACGGAGGAUGCGAGCGUUAUCCGGAUUUAUUGGGUUUAAAGGGUGCGUAGGCGGGAAAAUAAGUCAGUGGUGAAACCCUGCAGCUUAACUGUAGACUUGCCAUUGAUACUGUUAUUCUUGAGUAUGGUCAAGGUAGGCGGAAUGUGUAAUGUAGCGGUGAAAUGCUUAGAGAUGACACAGAACACCGAUUGCGAAGGCAGCUUACUGGGCCAUUACUGACGCUGAUGCACGAAAGCGUGGGGAUCGAACAG